GAUGAACGCUGGCGGCGUGCCUAAUACAUGCAAGUCGAGCGAACAGACGAGGAGUUUGCUCCUCUGACGUUAGCGGCGGACGGGUGAGUAACACGUGGAUAACCUACCUAUAAGACUGGGAUAACUUCGGGAAACCGGAGCUAAUACCGGAUAAUAUAUUGAACCGCAUGGUUCAAUAGUGAAAGACGGUUUUGCUGUCACUUAUAGAUGGAUCCGCGCCGCAUUAGCUAGUUGGUAAGGUAACGGCUUACCAAGGCAACGAUGCGUAGCCGACCUGAGAGGGGGAUCGGCCGCACUGGAACGGAGACACGGUCCAGACUCCUACGGGAGGCAGCAGUAGGGAAUCUUCCGCAAUGGGCGAAAGCCUGACGGAGCAACGCCGCGUGAGUGAUGAAGGUCUUCGGAUCGUAAAACUCUGUUAUUAGGGAAGAACAAAUGUGUAAGUAACUAUGCACGUCUUGACGGUACCUAAUCAGAAAGCCACGGCUAACUACGUG
rnacentral:rRNA from 1 species